UAGAUUAGGUCAAGCUUGUGAAGGGAGGGCUAAGAGGAGGAUCUUUGCCAUUGGUAAUUCGACAGGUCUUUCUUUCCCUACUUGCUAGCCAACCAGGGGUUGUUACGUAACAUGUGGUAAGCACUAUACUCCAUUACUUUCUCAAACGCUCCACUCAGCACUACCUCCUUCCGUGCUGCUCGCUCUUGCACACGAACAGCAGCUUCUCCGAGACCUCGCC
rnacentral:lncRNA from 1 species